UGGGGGUGAAACCCGACCAGUACUCCAAGACGCGCAAGCAAGCGCCAAGCGGGGAACUCCGCGGGAAACCGGACCGGAACUCAAGUGUGCAGAGCUCUGCUUCGCUAGGAAUCCUUCUUCUCCAAAAUGACUUACCUUUAAUGAGUGGGGGGUGCCCUCUAUUUAUAGGGGUUCUUAUGGGGUCAAUCUGGUCAUUUGGGCAGUAACCGCCUAACUGCCUAACUGCCUAACUGAUCAGAUUGGGUCCAGGGGUCGACUUUCCAGAGAUCGACUUUCUGGGGGUCGACUUUUCCUGGUGAUCGACUUUACUCAAAAGUCGAUCCCAGGGAAGUUG
rnacentral:lncRNA from 1 species